rnacentral:tRNA from 1 species
GGAAGGGCCAGGUCUCCCGGUGGGGCUCCCGGUCUUCAAAACCGGAGGGGUGCGCCCAGCGUGCCCGGUGGGUUCGACUCCCAUGCCCUUCCGCCA